rnacentral:snRNA from 1 species
AAACAUAAGAAUGGCACGAGUGA